rnacentral:rRNA from 1 species
AACGAACGCUGGCGGCAUGCCUAACACAUGCAAGUCGAACGAGACCUUCGGGUCUAGUGGCGCACGGGUGCGUAACGCGUGGGAACCUGCCCUUAGGUUCGGAAUAACUCCCCGGAAGGGGUGCUAAUACCGGAUCAUGUCUUCCGACCAAAGAUUUAUCGCAUUUGGAUGGGCCCGCGUUGGAUUAGCUAGUUGGUAGGGUAAAAGCCUACCAAGGCGACGAUCCAUAGCUGGUCUGAGAGGAUGAUCAGCCACACUGGGACUGAGACACGGCCCAGACUCCUACGGGAGGCAGCAGUGGGGAAUAUUGGACAAUGGGCGAAAGCCUGAUCCAGCAAUGCCGCGUGAGUGAUGAAGGCCUUAGGGUUGUAAAGCUCUUUUACCCGGGAUGAUAAUGACAGUACCGGGAGAAUAAGCUCCGGCUAACUCCGUG